UACAGAGGGAGCUAGCGUUAAUCGGAUUUACUGGGCGUAAAGCGUGUGUAGGCGGUUUGGUAAGUCGGGUGUGAAAUCCCUGGGCUCAACCCGGGAAUUGCAUUCGAUACUGGCAAGCUAGAGUACGGUAGAGGGCGGCGGAAUUCCGGGUGUAGCGGUGAAAUGCGUAGAUAUCCGGAGGAACACCGAUGGCGAAGGCAACCGCCUGGGCCUGUACUGACGCUGAGACACGAAAGCGUGGGGAGCAAACAGG
rnacentral:rRNA from 1 species